AACGCGAAGAACCUUACCUACCCUUGACAUGUCCGGAAUCCUGCAGAGAUGCGGGAGUGCCCGAAAGGGAAUCGGAACACAGGUGCUGCAUGGCUGUCGUCAGCUCGUGUCGUGAGAUGUUGGGUUAAGUCCCGCAACGAGCGCAACCCUUAUCAUUAGUUGCUACGCAAGGGCACUCUAAUGAGACUGCCGGUGACAAACCGGAGGAAGGUGGGGAUGACGUCAAGUCCUCAUGGCCCUUAUGGGCAGGGCUUCACACGUCAUACAAUGGUCGGUACAGAGGGUUGCCAAGCCGCGAGGUGGAGCCAAUCCCAGAAAGCCGAUCGUAGUCCGGAUUGUUCUCUGCAACUCGAGAGCAUGAAGUCGGAAUCGCUAGUAAUCGCGGAUCAGCAUGUCGCGGUGAAUACGUUCCCGGGUCUUGUACACACGC
rnacentral:rRNA from 1 species